GACGAACGCUGGCGGCGUGCCUAACACAUGCAAGUCGAGCGGGGUCCAUCCAGUGGCAACACUGGUGAAGACCUAGCGGCGAACGGGUGAGUAACACGUGAGGAACCUGCCCCGAAGACCGGGAUAACCCGAGGAAACUCGAGCUAAUACCGGAUACCCCCACGGAAUCGCAUGAUUCUGUGAGGAAAUGUCUUUUCGCUUCGGGAGGGCCUCGCGGCCUAUCAGCUUGUUGGCGGGGUAACGGCCCACCAAGGCAUCGACGGGUAGCUGGUCUGAGAGGACGAUCAGCCACACUGGGACUGAGACACGGCCCAGACUCCUACGGGAGGCAGCAGUGGGAAUCUUGCGCAAUGGGCGAAAGCCUGACGCAGCAACGCCGCGUGGGGGGACGAAGGCUCUCGGGUUGUAAACCCCUUUCAGGAGGGACGAAAUUGACGGUACCUCCAGAAGAAGCCCCGGCCAACUACGUGCCAGCAGCCGCGGUAAU
rnacentral:rRNA from 1 species